GCAGGUGCUUGGAGUUUUUAUGCUGGUUUGCCGGAGUUUUUCUACAGGCACGGAAGAUUGUGGAAUUUCGGAAAUUGUGGAAGGUCGUUUGAUGUCAUAGCCGAACUGCAUAAGGUGCGGAGCUGGUACGUUUAAGAGGAGAUCAUUCACUAGAGGUACCGACGGGUCACCUUGGCCUCGGAGUAACCGUUGUUGGCCUUCAGGAGCUCCUCAUUAAACGUUUUCUGGUCCACAUUGCGCUUCUCCGCCUUCUCGACGAUGCUGUCCUUCUCGGAGCGGGAGUAUGCUAUCAAGUCUCGUCGCACGGGACAGUUGUCGAGGGACAGACGCGUCGCACGAGACAGUUGUCCUGACAUAGACCGUCAUCCAUACAAUCGUUUUUGAGAUUUCAAAAAGGGAAGAUGAUACACUGAUCAAUGGAACAUUUGACGUGGAAGCUGGACAAGCGUUCUGGGCAAUCGCCAUCCGACAUAUUAUGAAAACUAGAUCGUGGCUUGGAAGUUUUGCCACCAAAUGACCAUGGCUGUACAGCCUAUAACUUGUAAUAGAUAAAUCCGACUAUCUCGACGGUAACGUUUUUCUGCAAACCACAGGUUUCAACCCGAUCAACACGCUCAGUGUGACCUCGAUGUCCUCGGCGGCCCAAAGCGCCGCUCAUCCCGUGCAUCCAAGACUCGAACCAAUUCUAGAAUUGUCGAACUCUACGCGAACCUUCCCUCGGAUCUGCUGACAGGCCAUCACUUACACAUCUCCU
rnacentral:lncRNA from 1 species